UACCUGGGAUGUCGUUCGCUUAUUCAGCCAUGGUCAUCAGGACGUGCGGCAACUUUAUUUACACUGCGACUGUAGCAUGCUACGAAUUGUUCGUAUUGAUACCUACCGAGCUACGCUUGUGGUAUGGGGUGUUCUGGCUGGUCAUCGAGGUUUGUAUUUAACUUUACAGUCAACAAAUUUUGUUUGUCUAGUGACUCAAACACUCAAAUAUAGCUUGAGACACACACUGUA